UACGGGGGGGGCAAGCGUUGUUCGGAAUUACUGGGCGUAAAGGGCUCGUAGGCGGCCAACUAAGUCAGACGUGAAAUCCCUCGGCUUAACCGGGGAACUGCGUCUGAUACUGGAUGGCUUGAGUGUGGGAGAGGGAUGCGGAAUUCCAGGUGUAGCGGUGAAAUGCGUAGAUAUCUGGAGGAACACCGGUGGCGAAGGCGGCAGCCUGGACCAAUACUGACGCUGAGGAGCGAAAGCCAGGGGAGCAAACGGG
rnacentral:rRNA from 1 species